CCUCAGGAUUUUUUUAAAUCCACAAAAUGGGAAUUAUAAUUGCAG
rfam:Canis lupus familiaris chromosome 1, whole genome shotgun sequence.